AGUUGCGUACUCUUCCUAAUGAACUCUUGUAUACGCGGAAAGCAACCUUGUAUAUGCUCUAACUUAAUGAUAUUUUAGAGGGUAUAAAGUUAUAGUCUAGAGGUAUACUUUUCAGGUGUGCACAAGUAUAGCGGGCAAGAACAGUAUAAUAUUACAAGGAUAGAAUAUAUACUACUCAAAGACACUGAUACAAAUUGUCGUAUGCAGGUAGAUCUAUAUGCCAUAUAAAUCCCACUGACUGACACUAUGCAACAAUGUCUUGAUGAGCACUAGUGUCCUUUACAUCACAUGGAAUUUUAGCAAGGUAAUAAUUAUAAUAUUAUACUAAUUUCAACUUCAAAUUCCGUAUAUCCAGGCCAAAUUUGAGUGAGAUCUGUCCAUUAUAAUGAAUAUUACUAUUGUGGACAGAUUAGAUACCUCGAUCUAUGUCUCGAUCCACUUCCACUGAGUAGAUCUACCCACAUCUCUGGCGCUUUUUCUCCUCUUCUAACUCUCUCGCCACUAGAAGACAACUUUAUGUUUCUCUUGUUAGCCUAACAAGAACCCAACAGUUAGGUCACAAAUGUCCUACUGUAGUCUACUUUUGCGUCCUACACUUAUUAAGGAUAUUGAAAAGCUUGAAAGUGUGCAGCGCAGAAGCACGGAAUUUGUCAUCGGCCAUGAGUAUAUACGCAGGGUAGCCUCGAUCCCAGGCCGAGUUUUCGCUUUUAUAACGGUUAGGCGAACAACUGGGCCUGGUACUAGUUGUCUGCGCAUGCGUCAGUCGUUCGUCAGAUUCUGACGAAUGGAUAUUCUCGUUCACUUUCGUGACAUUUAUAUUCGUGUACUAUCGUGUACUAGAAGUCAGUUCCCGUUUUAUCAUUAUUGGAAUCGAUUGGAAUGGCUCUUAGUUGAAGCUUCUCUCUUCUCUGAAGCUUAUUCUGAAGACUGAACAACAAGGGAAGAGGUAUAAAGCUUUGUCAAGCUUGUUAAGGUCAGAUAUUUUUGUGUGGGCCCUAUGGCUAUGCUAUCAAGUGUUGUUCAUGUUUGGCAAGAUCUACCGGUACGUAGGUAGACUAUAUAUAGUUUCAUCAUUAAUAUGGUGGAUCAAGUGAAGAGUGUGAGCUAGAGAACUUGGUGCUGCCAUCAUCAGCUCGUCGACAAUGACACUAUAACCGAGAAAUUUAAUAUGUAUAGAUCUACACAUAAUUAUUUAAAAUGUCUACUUCUCUGUACAGGAUCUAGGAGCAAUGGCUAAUAUCCAGCUAUCCCAACAGUGCUCCUCUUGGCUAUACUAACGGACGAGACUGGACAGUUUGAGGACUGGAGUAUGACCUGCUCAUUCGAGCGUUGCUGGGUAGCUCAGAGACAUCAAGAGAAUCUACGUUUUCUCAAGCAAAAUUUAACUGAGUUACGAGUUGGGGCCUAGAAUCACAGAAGUCCAGCAGCCUGCUAAAUCUUUUUGAAAUGUAAUUUGAAGGCAUUCAAUCAUCCUGAAGUUGCCCUGGGUCACUGUAAUUGUGCUGCAGCACAACUGGCAACUCCCCAGGCCUUUGUGAAGCAGCUCCCUAUGUGCAUCUUUUGUGUACUCACUCUGUGCAUUUUCUGUGUACAAAUUUCUAUUAUUGAUUUAUUAAAUAUUUUUGCCGA